CAGAGAUCUUAUAGGAUAGCCUAAGGGGAGUGUCUAGGGGAACACAAAGGCUCAGGAUUGGUGUGCCUCCAGGCUUGGUGGACUUGCCCUGUGUUGAUUGGUCAAUUGGUUGUUAUGGCCCAUAGGCCCUCCCAGGGUGGUUGCUAUGCUCUGCAGUCAUUGCUGUGCACUUGUGGUAAAGCACACCCAGAGCCAUAAAGCAUAGCACCACCAGCUAACUUCGGAUUGGUUCCUUGUCAUGAAGCAGGCAUCUGACCUCCUAGGGACCAAGGCAAGAUUGUGAUAAGAAAGUAGUGCAUAAAGGGUGGCUUCGACAACAUUCAUUUCUCACACACCUGGUGGCCGGCAAAGCCAAGUCAAGGUGCAAGGAUGGAUGGGAGAUCCCCCCCAGCCACCACCCCCCCCAACCACACAACUACCUUCCCGACUGGAACCAUUAAAGACCAGCUUGUCAUUCUGUCAUUUUUUUCUUGGGUCCUUGCCAAGCUCCAGCCAAACAAUGUCUCUCUGUGGAGUGUAUUCAGUCAGUAACAGGCAAGAAUAGCCAAGGAGGGCAAAGGGCUAGUUCUACUGGCCCGUCCAUCCACCGAAGCCCACCACUUGGCCAUGCUCAGGAAGACAUUGCCCCCUCGUGGUUCCUCUUAUAACUGAGCGAAAAGCAGAUUGCAAACACAAUCAAUAAAUCAAAACACAAAGUUUCCGAUUAAUUGUAGCUCUUCUUCUGGACCUUUUCUCCCGCUGUUCCAACGACUCUUGGUUUAUUUCCUCCCAGGAGGUACCUUUGUUACUAUAGAGCGCCGUGGCAGUAUGACAGCAACUUAAAACAGUUUCUUUUAGAAACUUUCCCACAUCUCCAGAUGCCAAAAACAAAACAAAACAAAAAAAC
rnacentral:lncRNA from 1 species